rnacentral:rRNA from 1 species
AUUGAACGCUGGCGGCAGGCCUAACACAUGCAAGUCGAGCGGAUGAAGGGAGCUUGCUCCUGGAUUCAGCGGCGGACGGGUGAGUAAUGCCUAGGAAUCUGCCUGGUAGUGGGGGAUAACGUCCGGAAACGGGCGCUAAUACCGCAUACGUCCUGCGGGAGAAAGUGGGGGAUCUUCGGACCUCACGCUAUCAGAUGAGCCUAGGUCGGAUUAGCUAGUUGGUGGGGUAAAGGCCUACCAAGGCGACGAUCCGUAACUGGUCUGAGAGGAUGAUCAGUCACACUGGAACUGAGACACGGCCCAGACUCCUACGGGAGGCAGCAGUGGGGAAUAUUGGACAAUGGGCGAAAGCCUGAUCCAGCCAUGCCGCGUGUGUGAAGAAGGUCUUCGGAUUGUAAAGCACUUUAAGUUGGGAGGAAGGGCAGUAAGUUAAUACCUUGCUGUUUUGACGUUACCAACAGAAUAAGCACCGGCUAACUUCGUG